rnacentral:tRNA from 1 species
GGUCCAAUAGUGUAGAGGUUAUCACAUGGGAUUCUGAUGAUUGCUGCUUUCCCAUGACCCAGGUUCGAGUCCUGGUUGGACCU